rnacentral:ribozyme from 1 species
CAAGAGAGAAAAAGAAAGAAAGGAAGAAAGAAAGAAAGAUGGCUUGUCCCCUCUUCCCGCCCUGCAUUCACCAUUGGGUACCCCUUCCUUGUUCUUUCUUGCUCUCUUUCUUGAUUUUGUUUCUUUGUCUCU